rnacentral:rRNA from 1 species
UACGUAGGGCGCAAGCGUUGUCCGGAAUUAUUGGGCGUAAAGAGCUCGUAGGCGGCUUGUCACGUCGGGUGUGAAAGCCCGGGGCUUAACCCCGGGUCUGCAUUCGAUACGGGCUAGCUAGAGUGUGGUAGGGGAGAUCGGAAUUCCUGGUGUAGCGGUGAAAUGCGCAGAUAUCAGGAGGAACACCGGUGGCGAAGGCGGCAUCCUGGACCGAGAUUGACGCUGAGGCGCGAAAGCCAGGGGAGCAAACGGG